UAAGUAUUCCCUCCGUCCGGAAAUAUUUGUCGAAGAAAUAUAUGUAUCUAGACAUAUUUUAGUUCUAGAUACAUCCAUUUCUCCGACAAGUAUUUUGGGACGGAGGGAGUAGGAU
rnacentral:pre_miRNA from 1 species